rnacentral:misc_RNA from 1 species
UGGGAUUGAUGUGAGUGAAAAUGGGUCGGAGUUUGUUAGUGUUGGGGAAGAUGGGAGGAUUAAUUGGGUGAGUUUUGUUGGAGGGGGGUUGAGUACUAGGAAGGUGUUUGAUAGUAAUGGGUUGGUUUCGUAUGGCGCGGUGAAGUGGGCGUCUCCGGUGGAGUUUGUGAGUGGUGGAUUGGGGUUUGGUCUGCAAUGGUGGGAUCAACGACGCCCCGGUGGACCUGUUUCGCAGUUUAAAGCUAAUUGGACGCGUGGAACUACUUCUGGAAUUGUACAUUCAAUUGAUAUUCAUCCAUCAAGAAAGCAUACUUGUCUUGCAGGAGGUUCUUCUGGUACUGUGUUUGCAUGGGAUCUUCGCUGGCAACAGCAACCUAUAAUGCUUUCUGGUGUUGGAACCAGUGAUUUGUCUGCUCUUUCACCAUUGGAAAGUGAUGUUUGGGAGGUCCAGUAUGACAACUAUACUACUUCAUCCAACUACCGGAACAUGUCAGAAUCACGUGUUCUUCCUGCCAUGAUUUGCUCAGAGGAUGGUAUUCUUGCCGUAAUUGAACAAGGUGAAGAACCUGUCGAGCUUCUUGCUGAACCUUGUGCCAUCAACAGCUUUGACAUCGAUCGACAAAACCCAUCAGAAAUUGUUUGUAGUUUGGAGUGGGA